UAUUCCAAGACAAGGAUUCCACAAUCACUUAAACAAAAUCAAGGAACUAUUAGUAUUAGUACAUUAUUGAAUAGAAAUAUGGAAUGUCAAUCUUUAAUAAUUUUUUCAUCAUCUAAUUAUUUUCGAAUGGAUCCAUCCAACGGUGUAAAAUCUUAUAAUGUAAUAAAAGAAUCAACUAAAAGAGAUUCUAUAAUUCUAAUUAGGAAUUUGUUGGGCCCUUUAGGAAUAGCCCUUCAAAUUGGGAAUUUUUAUUCAUUUUACCAUUUACUAACUCAUAAUCAGAUCUCGGUAAUUAAAUAUUUGAAACUUAACAAUUUAAAAUUAAAAUAGACUUUAAAAGUACUAAAAUAUUAUUUAAUGAAUAAGAACGGUAGAAUUGUUAAUCACGAUCUGUAUAGUAACAAUGUUUUGAAUCCAUUCAAAUUGAAUUGGUAUUUUCUCCAUCAUAAUUAUCAUCAUAAUUAUUUUCAAGAAACAUUCAAAA